UACGUAGGGUGCAAGCGUUGUCCGGAAUUAUUGGGCGUAAAGAGCUCGUCGGCGGUCUGUCGCGUCGGCUGUGAAAACCCGGGGCUCAACCCCGGGCCUGCAGUCGAUACGGGCAGACUAGAGUGCGGUAGGGGAGACUGGAAUUCCUGGUGUAGCGGUGAAAUGCGCAGAUAUCAGGAGGAACACCGGUGGCGAAGGCGGGUCUCUGGGCCGUAACUGACGCUGAGGAGCGAAAGCGUGGGGAGCGAACAGG
rnacentral:rRNA from 1 species